ACCAAUGUGUCGAAUGAAACACGUUCCCUUAUGCACAUUCCAUGAUCGAACGUUCUAAACACACUUCUUACCGCCAAAAAAAAGAAGUUAUCGACGAUAUAACGUUACUACCACUAUGUCGCACUUUUUUACUAGGUGUCUUCAGGACUUGGCUUAAAUUAAUAUUAAUGAAGUACAUCAAAUUGUUAAAUCUGCCUCCGAGACUCCAGCUAACAAGAAUGAAAAGGGGUUCAAGAUGUAUACCUUUAUAGGAAGCUAACGUUACAUAGACAACUAUGAAGAUGGUGUUAAAGCACUCCGUACCAGUGAUAGUGGUCCAGAGCCACUGCUCCUGUGUUGCAGGAAGUGCUAUGUGUAAUCAUCCGGUAGCCCUUCUUUACCAAGUUCAACUAAACAUUCCUGCUGCACCACCAGUUCACAGCUGCACAGACACAGAAUAGUGUUGGCACAAGCCAAGAACACUUGUGAGUCUAUCAAUAUCCAUAAAAAAAUGCACCUGAAAAGUAUUCAGCCUAUGUAACAGUAAAUCCUUGUUAAUUAGGGUGUGAAGACAGUUCCGGUUGAUGGGAUAGAGUUCCGUAAACCUACAAACUUGUGUGCUGAUGGAAUAAGAUAAGUUGGAGGUUCCUAGAAUGGAAACAUUUUAGAAAACAUUUCUGUGAUUGUUUUUGUAUCCAGAUGAUGAGCCUAAACAGUGGCGUCUUUACGAUGUAAUGACACAUUUUGGGACAAAGACUGGGGAGAAAUAUAUAAUCUAUAAAACUGUA